UUAAGACUGUAACAGCCGUAUUCAUAAAAAAUCCUUAAAUGAGGAAUGAUCAGCUUAUUAGCUAAUCCGCUGUUUAGGCUUAAUAAGCCGUUGAUAAGAACCAUGAUUUAUAAACGUUUAUUAGGGGCUUCUUAACUAAUAAGCAGAUUAGACGCGUUAUGUUGGCAUCUUGGCGCAUCAUAGACUAAAAUAUGGCUGAACAUUAAAUUAAAAAAAAAGUUUGACAGCAGCACUAGCGGCCAAUCGUAAUAUCAUGAAGAAGUUGAUUUACUAUUUUGACUAAUUUUCGGAAUUAUCUCUUAUUAAAAUAGCUUCUGUGCCACAAAAAUAAUUAAAGAUUGCUGCAUGGCCGGAAAUUUUAUAAAACUUGUUUCAAUAUUAUGUGGAAUGGAGUCGAAAGAAGUGGGGUUCUUUCAAACUAACCGAGAAGUGCAUAAUUAGCGAAGAGAAGAAGUCGAUGCCAGAUACCGUACCAGACCGCACUCGCCUCCGCAAGAAGAACCAUUGAAUAAUGGUUCAUGAGUUCACACUAAUUUAUUCUGGUUGCGGCAGAAAUUCACAACGGGUCAACAAAACGAAGUCCAUUCAGACUCACUAAAUCAGAUCCUGAAAGUACCAUCAUUAGCCACUGUUAUUGUUGAAUAACUCCAGGCUUUGGAAGAAAAGCUGUGGCCUGUGAACAGCUGUGAAUAUUGGUCAGAGAAGUGUAACUGACUCCGUACACUGCAAGUCCCAGCAGGAAAUCAGCAAGGAACCUAAAAGAAAAAAAACAUCAAAAUGAAAACCUAGCUUGAUUUAGGUUGAAGUAAUAAAAUUGUUCUAAUUUAAUUGGUGUUUUAUUUUACUAAUUAAAUAUAUUUUUUGACUUGUUAA